CCCCCACCCGCAUCCUCUGCCUCAGGAUGAGGCCCGCCUACGCUUCCGGCUUCCCCGCCCCCGGCUACCUCUGCGCUCCACAAGGCCAGUACCCUCCAGGUCCGGCUGGGCACCUGGGUGCACACCUCAACCGGUCUCCGCGGGCCGAGCGCCGCCAAGAAGCCGGCCGCUACGCCAACUGCCUCUGAGCCAUCCUGGGCCGGCCGCCCCCAACGUACCUAGAGCGCCGCCGGUCCUCAGAAGCCCUCAGCGAGAGCUGAGACCCCAGACAAAAUGACCCCCGGUUGGGCCGGAGAUAGACUAAAUCUCCCUCCCUCCGCCCUCGGGCCGCCUGCCAGCCAAUGACAGCGCGAAUAUAAGAGAGCCCAGCCAAUCACAGCGGUGCUGGGCGGGGAGCAGCGCGGCUGAGGGAAAGAAACAAGCCUCGGAGGAAAAGGGUUGUGGAUUCCAACUGUGACAAUUCCGCUGGCUUGGAACCCCGGGAUGGCGAUUGGCCAGUGACCUGUGAAUUCCAGGUACCACAGGGGACUCAAGACUGCUGCUUCAGGGAGCCUUCACUGACAUUCUGUGGAGCCUUUAUAUCCAUAGCUCAGUUCAGAGAAGGAACUAAGGAACCAUAAAGAACACUGUUUCUCAUCAGAGCCAGAUGUUCAGUGGAGACAGAAAGUUUCAUAGCCAAAUUGGGGCUGUUUGCAAAAUGUCCUUGACUGGCUAAGCUGCAUUGCUGAGGUGCGGGAGGAAUCAGUUUACCUGGUGUGACAGUAUUCUUUCACACACAACCCAACGCAGGACAUAUGGGAAAGUCCAUUAUUUACAUGCUAUGCCUAGAUGGUCCACUUCCUUAAUCUCAGCAAGUGGGAGGCAGGGAAUGGCUGAUCUGGGAAGGUUGCAGGCCACUCUAGGUGAACUCCAGGCCCACAAAUCUCAAAAUAAAUGAAUAAAAAUGUCAUUACCCUUG